UGGCACAAUGGUUAAGCACUCAGCUGCUAACUGAAAGGUCGGUGGUUCAAAUCCACC
rnacentral:tRNA from 1 species